GGAGGAAGGGGUGGUCCUCGGUAGGUCAGUAUGCCCCGAAUAUCCCGGGCUACACGCGGGCUACAAUGGACAGGACAAUGGGCUACUACACCGAAAGGUGGCGUCAAUCUCUUAAACCUGUCCUUAGUUCGGAUUGAGGGCUGAAACUCGCCCUCAUGAAGAUGGAAUCCGUAGUAAUCGCAUUUCAAAACAGUGCGGUGAAUACGUCCCUGCUCCUUGCA
rnacentral:rRNA from 1 species